rnacentral:rRNA from 1 species
GUAGGGAAUAUUGCACAAUGGAGGAAACUCUGAUGCAGCGACGCCGCGUGAGUGAUGAAGGCCUUCGGGUCGUAAAACUCUGUGAUAAGGGAAGAUGAUGACGGUACCUUAUCAGAAAAGACCGGCUAACUUCGUGCCAGCAGCCGCGGUAAUACGAGGGGUCUAAGCGUUGUUCGGAAUCACUGGGCGUAAAGCGGGUGUAGGUGGCUAUGCAAGUUGGAUGUGAAAGCCCCGGGCUCAACCCGGGAAGUGCAUCCAAAACUACGUAGCUUGAGUGCGGGAGAGAAAGGCAGAAUUCCUGGUGUAGUGGUGAAAUACGUAGAUAUCAGGAGGAACUCCGGUGGCGAAGGCGGCCUUUUGGCCCAGCACUGACACUCAGACCCGAAAGCGUGGGUAGCAAACAGGAUUAGAUACCCCUGUAGUCC